rnacentral:rRNA from 1 species
GUGGGGAAUCUUGCGCAAUGGGCGAAAGCCUGACGCAGCCAUGCCGCGUGAAUGAUGAAGGUCUUAGGAUUGUAAAAUUCUUUCACCGGGGACGAUAAUGACGGUACCCGGAGAAGAAGCUCCGGCUAACUUCGUGCCAGCAGCCGCGGUAAUACGAAGGGGGCUAGCGUUGCUCGGAAUUACUGGGCGUAGAGGGCGCGUAGGCGGACAGCUUAGUCAGAGGUGAAAGCACAGGGCUCAACCUUGGAAUUGCCUUUGAUACUGGCUGUCUUGAGUACGGGGGAGGUGAGUGGAACUCCGAGUGUAGAGGUGAAAUUCGUAGAUAUUCGGAAGAACACCAGUGGCGAAGGCGACUCACUGGCCCGUUACUGACGCUGAGGCGCGAAAGCGUGGGGAGCAAACAGGAUUAGAUACCCUGGUAGUCC